GCAACACACUGAAACACCAAUCUCUCCCUCUCACUCAUUCGGAUCCACGAGAUGGUGACGGAGAGCAAAGCGGUCGGCGAUAGCCCCAAUUUCCUUGCGGAGCUAGAGUACAAAUCGGGGUUUGGGAACUACAUGGAGUCGGAGGCGAUCCCGGGAGCUCUGCCGCAGGGCCAGAACAGCCCGCUCGUCUGUCUCUACGGCCUCUACGCCGAGCAGAUCUCUGGCACCUCCUUCACCUCCCCUCGCAAUCUCAGCCUUCGCAGUUGGCUAUAUCGGAUCAAACCCUCAGUUACACAUGAACCAUUUAAACCUCGUGUCCUAGGUCAUGGGAAGCUCGUGAGCGAAUUUAACCCAGUCCAACAGUUCUACCACGCCAACUCAACUUCGAUGGAAGCCUGCAGAUUUUCCGCAUUCACCAACAGAUUUUAUUGAUGGGUUAUACAUCGUAUGUGGGUCUGGCAGCUCAUUCCUACGGCAUGGAUUUGCUAUUCACAUUGACAGCAAGAAAACAUCCAGCAAAUGAGCUCCCUUCUUCUCUCAUCAAGCCAUUGCAGAUUGAAAGAGUUGGUGCACAAGUUCAUUGAGCCGCUGCUUAGAGACCUCUAUCUUCAUCACACUUCUACCGACUUCGACUAUGUUCUUGGUUGUGCGUGGUUACGGAUUGGGGGAUUACGCUUUCAUCUCUCGCUUAGCUGUGAUGAUUUGGAUCCUGCCAUGAAAUACUAUUGGAAGUCUUCACAGUUAGUAGAAAAGAUAACAUCACUUAAGCUUGAGAUGCAGGUACGACAAUAAUGCAACUAUCUAGCAGGAUGGUUUUCUACAAGAGAAGCUGAUGAUAGAAGAGCACAUGCAUUAGAAAAUCUUCAAGUGGAGCUUACAACGGCACAAAGAAAGGUCUAAACAUUUAAAGAGUUUUA